rnacentral:lncRNA from 1 species
UUUAGUGGAGAAAUAGGAGAAUUAUGUUAAUUUUAUCUUCCUGCAAGCAGAAGCCAAUAGAAUAAUUUUUAUAUGUAUUAAACCUGUAUCCCAAAGCAGGUAUGAAACAAAAAUACUGAAUGGAUUAGAAAAGACAAUUUGGAUGAAAUGUGGAUGCAGUUCCUUGCAAAGGAAAAUGUGAAAUAUUGUCCUUGUCUAUUAUAUUUUUUCUGAAUAUAUGAAACAAAUUUUGCUUUUCUCUUAUUUUUGGUCAUAGAGCCUACAGAGCCCUUAAUAUGUACAGAAAACAUUUAAUAUGGGUUUGAGUUAUAAGGUAAAGAGAUGUAAAAUUAAAGCCCUGGCUGGGUGCAGUAGCUCAUGCCUCUAAUCCUAGCACUUUGGGAGGCUGAGGCAGGAGGAUCACCUGUGGUCAGGAGUUCAAGUCUGGCCUGGCUAACAUGGUGAAACCCCAUCUCUACUAAAAAUACAAAAAUUAACCAGGUGUGAUGGCACACGCUUGUAAUCCCAGCUACUUGGGAGCCUGAGGCAGAAGAAUAGCUUGAACUCGGUAGGCAGAGGUUGCAGUGAGCAGAGAUCGUGCCAUUGCACUCCAGCUUGGGUGACAGAGUGAGACUCAGUCUCAAAAAAAAUAAAUUAAUUAAAUUAAAGCCCUAGUAAUUUGUAAAUACAAAGAUUGUAUAUUUUUCAUCUUAUAAACUGUCUUAAUCCAUUUUUAUUCCUAUAAAAGAAUAUCUAAGACUGGGUAAUUUAGGAAGAAUAGGGGUUUGUUUAGCCCGUAGUUCUAUAUGCUGAGAAGAUCAAGGUCAAGGAUCUGUCUUCUGGUGAGGGCAUUCAUGCUGCAUUACAACAUAGCAGAGAAGGUCAAAAAAAAAAAAAAAAAAGGAGGAGACAUGCAAAGAGGAGGAAAAGCUGAGGAGCAUUCUGGCUUUAUAACAACCCAUUUUUGAGGGAACUAAUCCAUUCCUAGGCGAACAAAUCCAGUCUUAGGAAAGUGAGAACUCACUACUACAAGAACAGCACCAAGCCAUUUAUGAGGAACCUACCCCCAUAACCCAAACACCACCCACUAGGUCCCACCUUUAAACGCUGACACAUCGGGGAUCAAAUUUCAACAUGAAUUUUGGUGGAGAAAAACAAUUAAUAUUCAAACCACAGCAUAAACUUACAACCUAAUAACCAUAAUAAACAAUAAAUUUAUUUCCUAAUAAUCGUAUUUUCUUACAACGUUAGGAAUAACUGACAAAUGGCAACUAGCUAUGAAUCUACGUAGAGAGUUGUCAUUU